UGGGCGGUGUAGGCGGAUCGGGCGGCACCAAUCCGCUGGCGCCGGUCACGGGGCUGCUUGGCGGCGGAUCGGGCGGUUCCAACCCGCUCGCGCCCGUC
rnacentral:tRNA from 1 species